GGAGGGGAAGGAGAGACCACGGUAAGCCCGUGCUGCCAAAGCUGCACACCCUCUUCCUCCCUCACCGCUCCAUGUGCAUCCCUGCUGACACUGCGUGCUCAGUUGAAGUGGACGACCUUCCUGAUAGAGACGUACCAUUCAUCAGUCAAGGUUAGGCCAGCUGGGAAAAGUGAUGCUGAUCCUCACUGCCUCCUGGAACCCCUUCAAAUGAGCUAUCAACUUUGGCCCCCCCUUUAGGACACAUCCAAGUGAGGCACUGCAUGGGGCAGUCUGCCUUUAAUU
rnacentral:snRNA from 1 species